GUCUGCUCAUGGUGACCAGACCCCAGGACAGCUCAACUUUACAGUGUGAUGUUUUGGUCGUUAAAUUAUUUACUAGCAGGUCAUGGACCUCGACUGUCAAAGACAACCUCUUCACAUUGUUGAGUCUAUGGAUGGAACUUUUCCCCAAAAAAAGCACCACAGUAGUGAGAGACUCACGCAGUGGGCAUAUCUGAAUUUCCUCUAAAGCAAUUGUGCAGGAGACAGUGGUCUUGUGGUGGUCCACGAGCGCAGGGCUGUGGGUCUGCAUUGCUCCAGUGUGCAGUUACAUGCAAGACAGGUGGCUGUGGUCAAACACGGACCCAGACUGAAGGAAUGUGAUCUCUACUUUUUUAAUUUGAUCUCUACUUUUGUAAUUUGUGAUGUAAACGGAAACUUUGAAACAAAUUUAAAUAUUACAAAAUAGCAACACAAUUGCCAACCGAUUGGUUAUAAAUGCUAAAGUUUGUCAAUGCUCAGCAAGGAAUUGAUGGCACCCCGAUCAGUGCUCUUUCAGAUGCUUCAUAGCUCCUCCUACCGUAUAACAGUGAAAACUCGGAAAACUCUCAAUGGUGGGGACGCAUAUAGUAAAUAACAGCACAUUCUAUCAGUGGUGGGGAAAGAGUUAAUCAUAUUUCGAAAUCUGAUAACAUCAUUAUGAGUACUUUAUCUAACAGCAUGUAAUGUCAUAAAGUGAGACAGCCCAACUAUUCCAUUGCUAAUGCUGUUGAUGUUUUCCUGCCAAAAUGAUAUCAUUUCCUGUAGGAUGAUGUAAGGGUGCAAAGUUAAAUUGAGGUGCAGUUCAAAUGUUUUCUUAUUUUGUGUGUGUGCUGUCUCUUUAUGUAUUAUCUUCUGUUUUAAACUACAUCUAGUUGCAGCUGUCAGAAGAACAGUUGACAACAACUGAGCACAUCUCCAGCGUGAGCGGGUGAAAUGUUUUAUAUGCACCGAAUGUAUUUGUGAAGAACUGAAUAUCAGACAGUUCGGUUGUUCAUGUAAAUGAAUUCAUUCUGCUACCCACUUCCUCCGUUUGUUUCCCUCCAAUCUGCAGGAGCACAGAGAUAAAAGAAGAGGACAACACAAUGAUGUUUGUGACCAAACGGCCAUGCGAUGACAGCUGUGCUAGAAUAAAACAGCUCUACACCACAGACCUGGACAGCAACAGUCAAACAUGACAACUCCUACCUCAGGUUCAACAAACUCAACAGCAUCCAGAAGCUCAUUAAAUGGGAGCAGAAAUCAUCUGCUAUGACAUAUAUCAGAACCAGCUGCGCGGCCCACAGCAAGUGUUUGUCUCAAUUGAAAACAAAUAUAAAAAUCGAAAAAUCCCACCAUUAUCAAAGUUUCUCACCAACUGGACAAGGAAAAAGCAGCUUUUUUUUUCUUUAGUGAAGUGUUUAAUUAGUGUUGUAGUUCAGAUUUGUGUGUAUUUAUUAUACUUUUACAAUACAUUUUAGGUUCAAAUGUAUAAGUGAAAGAAUAAAAUGUAAGGUCCAGUGUCUGCUCACCAUGUUUUCUCCAUUUUUCAUUCAGUUGCUCAUUUUUAUAUGAUAAUUGGAUUUAAAGGAUCCAUGGUAUGACACAGGAAAUUUCUAAAGUAUAUUAAAAUAUUGAGUACUCAACUAUAUGCUAAACAUUCAAACAAUAAGUCUGACUUUCUUAAAAGAUGCAUGAAUAAUUAGAUGGAAUAUGGCAGAACUGUCCAUCAUGUGUUCACACAAUAUAUUACUAUGUUCUUACAGUGACAUAUACAGUGCAAUAUAUAUACAGUACCCAAUGUCCUUUUUCCUUAAAAAAAAUAAAAAAUAAAUAAAGGAGUCAAUGUUGCUAAUGCUUCAGUUGGUCUUUAUUGAAACGGUACUGUUAGCAUUUCAGAUGGAAACUGAACCUGUAUGUGUAGAAGGAAGAAUUCAAAAUUUGAACAUAUUUUGGCAUCUUCAAUGUAACUGCUGACAAUUAUAUUUAAUAAAUUUGGCUUCAUGCAAAUAAUUUGAUAAUAGUCGCUUUAGAGUACAAAUGAAUUUGUUUCACACUGUGAGUGAUGGGUCUUAACCACCAAAGCAUAUUUCAUCCCGUAAACCUAAAGGCGAUCGUAAUAAAACAAUCACUCAACUGCAGAGGAAAAAAGAAUGAAAUUUAAUGAAUGUUCUUCAACAGCAUAACUCAAAUAUAGUGAGUUAAAGAGGUUCAUUGCUUAAUCAAGCUAAAUAUGCUCAAUGAGAACAUAUUAAAAACAAUAAAAAGAAAUUAAGCUCCCCCUUCCAAAAAUCUCUCUCAAAAAAAAAAAAAAAAA